rnacentral:lncRNA from 1 species
CGUGAAGGCUGGAUCGUAGAGGGCGUCUACAAGGGUCGAGCAGUCAGAUUCCACUUGAAGAUGAUCCGAUCCUCGCCCUCGUUGAAGCAAGAAGUGCAAGGUGUGAUUUAGUCCAAGCACCUCAGCCUGCAAAGCCGAAGAUGCAGACACUGUUUGCGCGAAACCAUCAAUCAAUACACCAGAGGAAUCACGGCACACACAAGCGACUGAUGCAUCAUGACACUGAGGUAGGUAAGCCGCAUCAAUAUUAACUUUGAUAGAGCCGUUAGCUGGUGGAUACCAUUGCUGAUGCGAAUCAUGUAGAUUUCUCACAUGCCGUUGCCUCGUCUGACCGACUCUCCCACUAGAUCGUGCGUCUACUAACGCAGAUUGCACAACGUGAUCAACAUUAGGACGUUGCUGUCGGAACAAGAGGUUGUUUCUGGCUUUCCAGAUAUGCCAGAGUAUAGCCGCAACUAUUUCAAGCUCAGG